rnacentral:rRNA from 1 species
UGGGGAAUAUUGCACAAUGGGCGCAAGCCUGAUGCAGCCAUGCCGCGUGUGUGAAGAAGGCCUUCGGGUUGUAAAGUACUUUCAGUCGGGAGGAAGGUGUCAAGGUUAAUAACCUUGGCAAUUGACGUUACCGACAGAAGAAGCACCGGCUAACUCCGUGCCAGCAGCCGCGGUAAUACGGAGGGUGCAAGCGUUAAUCGGAAUUACUGGGCGUAAAGCGCACGCAGGCGGUUUGUUAAGUCAGAUGUGAAAUCCCCGGGCUCAACCUGGGAACUGCAUUCGAAACUGGCAGGCUAGAGUCUUGUAGAGGGGGGUAGAAUUCCAGGUGUAGCGGUGAAAUGCGUAGAGAUCUGGAGGAAUACCGGUGGCGAAGGCGGCCCCCUGGACAAAGACUGACGCUCAGGUGCGAAAGCGUGGGGAGCAAACAGG